AUACGGAGGAUCCGAGCGUUAUCCGGAUUUAUUGGGUUUAAAGGGUGCGCAGGCGGCCAUUUAAGUCAGCGGUUAAAUCGUGGGGCUCAACCCCAUUCUGCCGUUGAUACUGGGUGGCUUGAUUGCGGUCGAGGUUGGCGGAAUUCGUUGUGUAGCGGUGAAAUGCAUAGAUAUGACGAAGAACACCGAUUGCGUAGGCAGCUGACCAGACCGCAAAUGACUCUCAUGCACGAAAGUGCGGGGAUCGAACAGGAUUAGAUACCCUGGUAGUCCGCACAGUAAACGAUGAAUACUUGUUUUCGGCGAUAUAAUGUCGGAGGCAAAGCGAAAGCGAUAAGUAUUCCACCUGGGGAGUACGCCGGCAACGGUGAAACUCAAAUGAAUUGACGGGG
rnacentral:rRNA from 1 species